UGGCUCAGAGCGAACGCUGGCGGCGUGCUUAACACAUGCAAGUCGAACGCGCAGUUUUCUGUAGCAAUACAGGAAAUGGGCGCGUGGCGAACGGGUGCGUAACACGUGGGCAACCUUCCCUUCGGUGGGGGAUACCCUCGCGAAAGCGAGACUAAUACCGCAUAACAUUCCCCUGGUUACGACUGGGGGAUUCAAAGCAGCAAUGCGCCGGAAGAGGGGCCCGCGGCCGAUUAGCUAGUUGGUGAGGUAACGGCUCACCAAGGCUUUGAUCGGUAGCCGGUCUGAGAGGAUGGCCGGCCACACUGGAACUGAGACACGGUCCAGACUCCUACGGGAGGCAGCAGUGGGGAAUAUUGCGCAAUGGGCGAAAGCCUGACGCAGCGACGCCGCGUGGGGGAUGAAGCUUCUCGGAGUGUAAACCCCUUUCGACCCGGACGAAUGACCCGCAAGGGUUUGACGGUACGGGUAUAAGAAGCCCCGGCUAACUACGUG
rnacentral:rRNA from 1 species